rnacentral:lncRNA from 1 species
CUGUUCUUUUUGACACAAUGUAUAGAAUUAUCUUGUAACACCCCAAACCUAACUUAGACGUUAUGAUCAGAUCCGGAGUUGUUAUCUAAAUUCGUUCGAAAAUCCAAAAACUAUUUUGAAACAGUAAAAUAAUUAAAGCCAACAUGGAGUGAAUAAAACUCCAGUUUGAUUGAGGAAAACUUCCCUUUAAAUAAUGUAUUAGUUUUGCUGAUGAUCACUUUAAAAUCACUUAGUUUUGCAGUGGAAUUUCUUAAUUAAAUAAAAUUUUGGAAAACACGAUUUGAUUUUGAAGUCCAUCAUUUGCAGAAAGAUUUGAUAUCAUCUAAAACGUUUUAAUGGUUCUAAAUGAAAAAUAAAAAUAAAAUUGGAUUUAAAAGCAGUCCCAAAAAUCCGAAACAGUCCCAAAUUUCGAAAUAGUCCAACGGAACGAAAUUAGAUUAAGUAGGACAAAAGUUAAGGAAAUGCAAAGCAAAUAUGUAAAACCGAGCUCUCGUCACACCGAUCCGUCUUAUGUCUGAGGGUUACCUGAGAAUCAAAAAAUCAGAGAGUGAGCUUACGAGCUCAGUGUAUAACUCAAUACACACAAUAAAUCAGAUACACAUGCUUAAAUAGAUUACGGAACUGAUAUAGACAUCAAUGCAUAGCAGAUACAGAUUCAAAUGCAUAAUAGAUAUAGAUUCAAAUCCUACCCCUAUCCACUACACACCAUCUCCGACCAUUCCUAAACACUAAUUAGGAUAUUAAAUACCUAUCCAGCCCCACACACCGCUAAGUGAUCAUAUGUCACUUUAUAGAAUAUAUGCAGACUAACCCCCUGAUCAAAAUGUCAUAACCCACCUGAAACAGAUAUAUGUGGCUGAGCCACCAAAUACGGUAGAUAAAUUAAACUGCUCACACUUCCUCCAUAAUUAUAAUCCCACCCCAAUACAUAUGUAGAACUAAACAAAUAUCAUAUAUGUGUAUUACAUACAUGCUUUACACAUCAGAUUCAGAUAAUAUUAACAUAUAACAGAUCAUGCUAUCACAUAUAACAUACUACUCAUGUGUUCAUAAAUCAUAUUUAACACUAACAGAGCAUCAAAAAUCAUGAUUUAUAGACCAAUUUGUACCAUACGGACCCUAUGGAAGGGCUAUAUUCGAUUCAUACAAUGAUUACAACCUUAGGGAUAAAUUUCAAAUUUUGGGCUCACACGCCUGUGUGGCCCACACGGCCCAAUUGACCUAGACCAUGUGGCAUCGAUAGUCCAAUUUUUCAGCUUUCAGUUGUUUACUAUUUUUCGAGUUUUCGUUACACAUCUGGAAGUUUUCCGAUGUAAGUUCCAAAAACGAGUAUAACAGCACCUAAAAACAUAAUACACUUAACGAAUUAGCCAACAAUAAUGAAUCGAUUUGAGAGGAUAAACUCCUCGAUUUUCCUAAAAUAUCAAUCCAACCCACAAAACCAUUAACCCAAACAGCCACAACAGUUCCAAAUUGGCAUAAAUCCCUUACCCUUGGACGUACAAAACACCUUCACAAGCCUUAAUCCUCCAGUGGAUUAAUCGUUCCGUGACCUUCACCUAGAUAUCCCAAAAAAUUAAUAACAGAAAACGCAAUACUUAAACCCCAACUUAGCAAAAAAAAAAAAACAAAUAAUGAAAGGAAAAUUUUCAGUAAUAGAAUAAACAAAUAUCGACAGUACUUACUCAAGAAUCGAGUUACAAACAAUUCAAUCAACACCCACCACCGAAAUUGAGUACCACAAGAACAACAAGUCAAGAACACAAAGAAAAUUUUGGGAAACAAAAUCAAGAAAGGAAGAAAGAAAAUUCGAAGACCUUCCUUUCCUAGAAUCCACGUGAAAAGGAAAGAGAAACAAAGUGAACAGAAUAGGGAGAAAAGAAGGAAUGUGCGAAGUGGGGAAAGUUUUUGAGAAAUCUUUUUUUUUUUAAAUUUCAAAAUAAAAUAAAAAUAAUAAAAUAAAAUCCAACUCAAAACCCAAAUAUAAGCUGACUCCUUACCACUAAGCUAGCUGGAUCAUUCUUAGCGCAAAUUUUGUAAAAAUAAAAUUUAAGCCUAAUAAACAGAGAUAGGAAUAGAAACAAAAAUAGCAAAAAUUUCAAAAAGCGAGAUUUGAACAUAUGACUUCAAACAUAUAUCUAAAGCACUUAAUCAUUAAAGCGAAUCACUUGACAAAAUUUAACAAACCAAAGCUCAAUUUUUUGUGGCGUUUCAACGCGCUUGAACUCACGUCCUCCU